rnacentral:rRNA from 1 species
GCCAGACUCCUACGGGAGGCAGCAGUGAGGAAUAUUGGUCAAUGGGCUUACGCCUGAACCAGCCAAGUCGCGUGAGGGAAGACUGCCCUAUGGGUUGUAAACCUCUUUUGUCAGGGAGCAACGCCGGCUACGUGUAGCCGGACUGAGAGUACCUGAAGAAAAAGCAUCGGCUAACUCCGUGCCAGCAGCCGCGGUAAUACGGAGGAUGCGAGCGUUAUCCGGAUUUAUUGGGUUUAAAGGGUGCGUAGGCGGAAUGCCAAGUCAGCGGUAAAAUCGCGGGGCUCAACCUCGCUCCGCCGUUGAAACUGCAUCCCUUGAGUGCGCGAGAAGUAUGCGGAAUGCGUGGUGUAGCGGUGAAAUGCAUAGAUAUCACGCAGAACUCCGAUUGCGAAGGCAGCAUACCGGCGCGCAACUGACGCUCAUGCACGAAAGCGUGGGUAUCGAACAGGAUUAGAUACCCUCGUA